CACAUGAUUCAUACACUUAAUUUUUUGUCCUGGUUUUGUUCGCAUUAGAACUGUUUAUUUGAGACGAACUGUUAUUUUCCGAUAUCAUUUUGUUCCAUAUUUGUAUUAUCAUAAUUCUACCACUAAUUUAUAUCUAAAUAAUGGGCAACGACACCGCGCAUUGCGCGGUGCACAUGAUCUAGUAUAUAUAUAUAUAUAUACACACAGCUGAGGCAUUUACAAGCUUCUCAUUCCCCUCCAGUUCUUGCAUAUUUCUUUUUUUCUUUCUGAAUGACUCGGGGGGGGGGGAGGGGGGAGGCCGGAGAGAAAGCCUGAGAAACGGCUACCACAUCCAAGGAAGGCAGCAGGAUUCGCAAAUUACCCAAUCCUGAUACGGGGAGGGUUGUGACAAUAAAUAACAAUACCGGGCUCGAUAAAUCUGGUAAUUGGAAUGAGUACCAUCUAAAUCCCUUAACGAGGGAUCCAUUGUAGGGCAAGUCUGGUGCCAGCAACCACGGUAUUUCCAGCUC
rnacentral:ncRNA from 1 species